GACGAACGCUGGCGGCGUGCCUAAUACAUGCAAGUUGAGCGCUGAAGGUUGGUACUUGUACCAACUGGAUGAGCAGCGAACGGGUGAGUAACGCGUGGGGAAUCUGCCUUUGAGCGGGGGACAACAUUUGGAAACGAAUGCUAAUACCGCAUAAAAACUUUAAACACAAGUUUUAAGUUUGAAAGAUGCAAUUGCAUCACUCAAAGAUGAUCCCACGUUGUAUUAGCUAGUUGGUGAGGUAAAGGCUCACCAAGGCGAUGAUACAUAGCCGACCUGAGAGGGUGAUCGGCCACAUUGGGACUGAGACACGGCCCAAACUCCUACGGGAGGCAGCAGUAGGGAAUCUUCGGCAAUGGACGAAAGUCUGACCGAGCAACGCCGCGUGAGUGAAGAAGGUUUUCGGAUCGUAAAACUCUGUUGGUAGAGAAGAACGUUGGUGAGAGUGGAAAGCUCAUCAAGUGACGGUAACUACCCAGAAAGGGACGGCUAACUACGUG
rnacentral:rRNA from 1 species